rnacentral:lncRNA from 1 species
UCUCUAGUAAUAAUAUAAUUUUUAUAAAACACAAUAAUAUUAUAACCCUGGAAUGAUUUACUUAAGAGUUCCGUAUGUUUUCAUAUUUGUAUAGAACAGUAUGAAUUUUAAAUAUUUAUAAAAGAUAACCAAUUUUAUUGCCACCUAUGUGUUUAACUGUUACAUUUUCUUUUCAUUAGUUUACACUAUGAAAGACAAGGCAGCAAGGAAGAACUUGGCCCAGUUAAGCUCAGUAAUGUUAAUUAUUCUAAUUCCGUGAUUUCAAAUUAACAAAAAUCAAGAUGCUUUCAGUCCAUCAUAUAAAACAAGCACAAUUUGGAACAUUAUUUUGAAAGAUUAAACAGGUAAGCAAAGAUGUUGAAGGAAAUAAAGACACCUGUAGCAUGCUUUCUUUGAGUUAU